rnacentral:rRNA from 1 species
CGAGUUGUAAUCUAAAAAAGUGUUUUCCGCGUUGGACCGCAACAAGUCUGUUGGAAUACAGCGGCAUAGUGGUGAGACCCCCGUAUAUGGUGCGGACGCCCAACGCUUUGUGAUACACUUUCGAAGAGUCGAGUUGUUUGGGAAUGCAGCUCAAAUUGGGUGGUAAAUUCCAUCUAAAGCUAAAUAUUGGCGAGAGACCGAUAGCGAACAAGUACCGUGAGGGAAAGAUGAAAAGCACUUUGGAAAGAGAGUUAACAGUACGUGAAAUUGUUGGAAGGGAAACGCUUGAAGUCAGACUUGCUUGCCGAGCAAUCGGUUUGCAGGCCAGCAUCAGUUUUCCGGGGUGGAUAAUGGUAGAGAGAAGGUAGCAGUUUCGGCUGUGUUAUAGCUCUCUGCUGGAUACACCUUGGGGGACUGAGGAACGCAGUGUGCCUUACGGCGGAUUUCUCGAGAUCUUCACACUUAGGAUGCUGGUGGAAUGGCUUUAAACGACC